rnacentral:rRNA from 1 species
UGAGAGGAUGAACGGCCACAUUGGAACUGAGACACGGUCCAAACUCCUACGGGAGGCAGCAGUGGGGAAUAUUGCACAAUGGGGGGAACCCUGAUGCAGCGACGCCGCGUGAGCGAAGAAGGUUUUCGAAUCGUAAAGCUCUGUCCUAUGAGAAGAUAAUGACGGUAUCAUAGGAGGAAGCCCCGGC